rnacentral:rRNA from 1 species
UGGGGAAUAUUGGACAAUGGGCGAAAGCCUGAUCCAGCCAUGCCGCGUGUGUGAAGAAGGUCUUCGGAUUGUAAAGCACUUUAAGUUGGGAGGAAGGGCAUUAACCUAAUACGUUAGUGUUUUGACGUUACCGACAGAAUAAGCACCGGCUAACUCUGUGCCAGCAGCCGCGGUAAUACAGAGGGUGCAAGCGUUAAUCGGAAUUACUGGGCGUAAAGCGCGCGUAGGUGGUUUGUUAAGUUGGAUGUGAAAGCCCCGGGCUCAACCUGGGAACUGCACCCAAAACUGGCAAGCUAGAGUACGGUAGAGGGUGGUGGAAUUUCCUGUGUAGCGGUGAAAUGCGUAGAUAUAGGAAGGAACACCAGUGGCGAAGGCGACCACCUGGACUGAUACUGACACUGAGGUGCGAAAGCGUGGGGAGCAAACA